rfam:Brassica napus, WGS project CCCW01000000 data, contig: 4129
CCAAUGUUUCUUGCUUAAAUGAGUAUUCCAUGAAAGUGAUUCUCACUCACUCUUCAUGAGAUGCUCAUUUGAGCAAGCAACGUUUG